rnacentral:pre_miRNA from 1 species
AUUAAAUCUAACAUUAAAUAUAUUUUGAUANGUUCGUCUUAUUUAAAAAAAAUUUAUAAUUAUUAUUUUUAUUGUUAUUAGAUGAUAAAAAAUGAAUAGUACUUUAUAUGUGACCAAUUUUUCUAAAAAAAUUUCAUAAAUUUUUCAAGUAAGAUUGACGGUCAAAUGUUGGACACGGAUUUUCAUGAAUGCACUUAUU